rnacentral:lncRNA from 1 species
GAAUAAUCGCAAUUUGUCCAGAAUUGUUUGUUCAGAAAGCAUUGAUUCUGACCUCAGGUUUCUAUACACAAUCUCCAAGCUGUGGAUGCUAACAUGUCUGGACAUGCAUGGUGUCCUUCUGUUGUUGGUAGUGGCACCACAGUUAGAGUACCUCUCCUUGUUGUUGAUGGAAAUCAUGUUGCUUUGAAAGUGUUGGCUGCCUGUAGCAUUGGGCUGUACGCUGAAUGUUAAUUGGGUAGAUGUCUUUCAGGAGUCUCCAGUGGGUCCCUGCCUGCAGGGCGUCUUCUCAGCACCAUCAGGACAGUCUCCUGGGCCAUAUGAUGAGGCCGUUUAUUUUAGGAGCCCGGUACUCAUCGAAGAGUCUGACAUGCAUGCAUGCUCUAUCCACCAAAGAAGAGCAGCAACAUCCCAGUGAACUCUAGAAAGUUACCUCUGCCACACACACAGACUCACAAACACACACGCACGGUUAAUUACAUUAACUAUGUGCCUCAAACCAGGCUUGCCAUAUUGCUCUGUUUCCAGUCAUGUGCACACUAAGUAGGGUGAUGCAUGUGCACACUAAGUAGGGUGAUGCUUUACACAUGUAUGGCUCACCGGUUAUCUGGCUUGUCUGUGUCUGUAUGGAUACACCUUUUGAGGAUGUUCCAUACCUGAGACUUUAUAACUGUGGUGUGGAGUGUGUCUCCUCCAUCGUCAUUAGCCGUUUUUGGCCUCCCUGCUUUUAUGAUGUGUUUGACUGAAGCAGAGAGCCCCACACGGUGACUGGCUGCUAGGCUGAGCAGCCAAAGAAAUGCUGAAUGAAUGCAAAGUAAACAAAUGUGCUUCUGCAAUGGCUGUCAUAAUUACUGCAUUACUUAGCCUGGCUAUGUAGUAAAUAUGGAAAUGAAGGUAAACCCAAAUUGCAUUGCUUGUCCUGAAAUUGUCCCUCAAAGUCACUGCUUUCUUCCAUUGCAGCGUGUGGUGGAUGGAUUAAGGUGGUAGCCUAUAACUGUCCCCAAUUUUUGUCUUUGAGGCAUGAAUGUUUAAUUUUAAUUAUAAAUAAUGUGGUAAUGGUUUAUUGAUGAGAGUCUGUGUCCCAGGGUGCCGCGUGCUAAUUGGCCAAGGCUGAACUGUGCUUAGGAUGUGUGUGAUUAGAGAACUAAACCAAGCCAGUCACCUUGGAUAAUUCACACAGGUGGGCAUUGCUGGGAGGACCCCACCAUCUGUCUGUGUGCCCAGAUUUAAAAUAGCCUCUCCUCAUCAGCUGUUUAGCAAAUAGCUACUAAUCGACUGUCUGCACAAAGGCCUGUUUGAAAAGGCUUGGCCACGGUCCCCACUGAGCGUAUAGGUACAGAAUGUUUCUGGUAUUAUAUACACUAACACAGAUUUCUCUUUGAUGUGUAUUUAGAUCAAUCUAGAGAUGUAGAUUGAUUUAGACUGGUUGUGAGACACUCAGGGGAGAAGUGUCAUCUCUCAGAGGGCAGCUGACGUUGACACUUGAACCAAAAAUGGACCGCCACGGGGCUGGAGCCUGCUAACGAAGCCCCCAGGCAGCCAGUUCGUCACCCCUGCCGGCCUGUAGGCUACUAAUACGCUACUGCUGUUCCUCACACCACUUUGAGCGUCCCAAGCCAACACGGAGAGUGAGAAGAACACAGACCACAUGCCAGAGGCAGCUCCUGUACCAGAGGGACAGAGAGUGGAGGUCAAAACCAGAAGGGCCAGAGGAGAGAGAUAGUCGAGGUCAAGCCCAGAAGGGCCAGAGGAGAGCGAGUGGAGGUCAAACCCAGAAGGGCCAGAGGAGAGAGAGUGGAGUAUAAACCCCGGAGGACCAGACGAGAGCACAAUCAGGACCUGAAUAGUAGUUAUUCCUAUAAACUCAAACAGGCCCAAUUGCACAAUGUCCUUUUAUCAAAUACUAACCUGUGUAGGGAGUUGGAAGGUAAUCUCUCAAAAAAGAGCCUGCUUGUUCUCAACUAGCCUUAUCAUGUGGAUUUAAAAAAUGUUGUUCAUUAAAUAAAAAUAAAAAAGUAGUGCUAUAAUCACUUUUACAGCAAAUUGAUAUAGCCAUUUCCCAUAAUAAAGCCAGCUUUUUUUAUAUGAAAGCCAACCACUAAGUACAUCAUGAAGCUCUGGCGCACAGCAUUUGAUUUAGCCUAACCCCAGACAGUGUAUCAAAUGUGUGUGUUAGUUCACAUCAUGCCGUAAUCUCCUCCUGUUUACUGGAGAGUCUUGCUACUGGAUCUUAUUCUUUCUGCAUCUCUCUGCACUGCAUAGUGCUCUGCUCAGCACUGUGACAUCAUCAUUCAGUGCUUAACAACAUUGGUGCCCAAAGGCAUGGGACCUUUGGCCAUAUGGCUUAACGGCUCCCCCUGACCAGGAUCCAGUCCAGAUCGCUUAUGGAUGCUGGCUGGUGUAGUACCAGCAGUGCUGUUUACAAAAGCAAUUUGG